CACAAUGGCUCUUCCUCCCUCCAGGCCUCUCAAGCCAACCACCGUCUCGGCACAUCAUCAGCCCAUCUGCUCCUGCCUGGCUCACGAGUCUUCUCGGGUGAGGUCUGGCCUGCAUAGUACAAUAGCACAGGGAAGUUAUCUUCUACCGAAAGCCACCGGGAGAGGAAGUCUUGAGGACAAGACGGGCUGAUGUUCAAAGAUGGCAAAGACCGACGGCAUUUUUAGGAAACAUUCAACAGUGUCACUCAAAUGCUGGAUCAACAGAAACUUUUACAAUUAAAAAAAAAGAGAUGGU